AUGGUUUUGUAUUCAAUUGCUGAUAUGGAAAAAGAGAGUUACUACUAUCAUAACAGUGGUAGUGGUAGUGGUAGUAGUAGUGGUAGUGGUAGUGGUAGUGGUAGUGGUAGUGGUAGUGGUAGUCUAAAACUAUGCAACCUUGAAAUGAGUAUGUAUAAAAGUUUAAUAUAUAUUUACUUUCAAAAAAAUUCGUAUGAGAAUGUAAACGUAGCCAUAAAUAAUCAGUGUUUGACAAUUAAUUAUGUAAAAGCAGUAGCAAAGCUUUUUAAAAAAAUAUGUACCAUAUGUGAUAAUAAUGAAAGAAAAAAUGUCCAUUAUGAUGAACAGUUUAUUUUGAAUAAUAAAAAAUACCGAUAUGAACAAGAUGCGAGUCAGUUAGAGGAUAUAGUCAGGUGUAAUAAUGAUAAAACAAGUGACAGAGGUGAAUUCUGUUUAUAUACGGCAUGUAUUUCUACUGCUGUUACUGCUGUUACUGAUAUUAAUGGUAACAAUAACAACGACAAUAAUGACAAUAAUGACAAUAAUGACAAUAAUGACAAUAAUGACAAUAANNNNNNNNNNAAUGACAAUAAUGACAAUAAUGACAAUAAUGACAAUAAUGACAAUAACGAUAAUAAUGACAAUAAUGAUAAUAACAACGAAAAUAGCAACGACAAUAUAUACCAAGAUAAUUAUUACGAGUUAACGAAAUCAAAUUCUAGCAACUGCAAUUUGUUUACCCUUAGGGAUGAUAAAAAUUCCUUUUUAGAGUAUAAAUACAUUUUAUUCGGUUUUUAUGAUUUAUUUUUAAUAAAUGAAAAUAACAAUAAUAAGUAUAAUAAUAAUACACAUGAUAGUUACACGUAUGGUAGUACCAAUAAUCUUUAUGUGGACAAUACAAUAAAUAAAAAUAAAAACAGAAAUACAAACAGAAAUGAAAACAGAAAUGCAAACAGAAAUGCAAACAGAAAUACCAAUUUAAUAUAUGCUAGUGACAUACAUAGUCAUUUUAAUUUUAUUAAUCUUAUAAAAAAUUAUUACAACUAUGAUAAUGUUUGUUUAUUUAUAAGCCCUGAACCAAAUAAAAACAAUGAACCAAAUAAAAACAAUGAACCAAAUAAAAUUAAGAAUAAAAUAAAAAUGAAUUUUUACUUAUUUCUUAAAAUUUUAUUAUUUUUUCAAAACAAUUAUAAACAUGAGUAUGUAACAUUUUUCCAUUUAUUAUAUAAUUGUUUAGAAGAACAAAGGACAUGUUGUUUCUCUUCUGAUAUGGACAAAAUAUACGAUAAUAAUUUUUAUUUUCUGAAUUUUUAUGAACUAUUCAAUAUAAAAAGAUAUUGUACAAUUUUAUUAGCAUUUUUUAUACAUAUGUAUAAUUUUUGUUUAAAAGAGUAUGGUAUUAAUAACAACGGUUUUAAUUCACAUAUUACCUUCUUUUUAAUUAAUAAAAAAACAAAAAAAAAUAAGAACUUAUUUCGAUAUAUAUGUAAAAAUUAUAAAAGCAAUUACGACCAAAACGUUUUAUAUGAACCAAUAAACUUACAUAAACAAACACAAAUAAACAUAAAAGAUGUAUUUUCCUCUACAAAUAAUAUUUCCCAAAAAAAAGAAAAAAAAAAUAAUGAAAUUAAGGAAAAAACAUUGUUUAGUUAUAUAAAUCCUGUUGAGAUGAUAGGUGAUGAUGAUAAAACACAGGAAGCAACAAAUAAAAAAAAUUUUCAAAUUAAUAAUAAAACAUAUGACACAAUAUAUUAUAAAUGUAUGUAUUAUGUUCAUAAAUUAAAUUGUUAUUUAAAGAUAAUAUUAAACAAUAGAAAUAAUAUUUUUCGAAAAAAUAAUGAUAUGUGUAAUGUUUAUUCUAAUAUAUAUAUAUGUCAAACAUGUUUUAUUAUGUUAAAUACAUUACGAAUUAAUAAUACUAAUAUAUAUGUGAAUAUAAAAUAUAAUAUAAAAAAAAAUAACCUAGAUUAUUUUUAUCUACUAUUAUUAAUUAAUUUUUAUACUCUAUUUUUUAUCUUGAUCUUGAACGAAAAAAAGCGAGAAAGGCGAGAAAAAAAAGAAGGAGAAAAAAAACAUAUAUCUGUGCAAGACGCACAAAUCGGGGAUUAUAAAAGUAUAAAUGAAAUAAUGGGAGGUUAUUGUAUACAUAAUUUUUUUAAACAAAUGCAAACUGAAGAACAAAAUAAUGUCACCGUCAUGAACAAGAACAAUACCGCUAUAAACAAAAAAAGCACCAUUAUGGAAAAAAAAAGCACCAUUAUGGAAAAAAAAAACACCAUUAUAGAAAAAAAAAACACCAUUAUAGAAAAAAAAAAAACCACUAUGGAAAAAAAAAAAACCAUUAUGAGAAAAAAAAACAUCGUUAUGGAAAAAAAAAGCAUUAGCCAUCUUGACAUAAGUACAAAUUUUACCGAAAUAAAUUCGACUAAUUUCAAAAAGUACUUAUUUUUAAUUUACGAAUGUAUUAUAACAAACAUAAAUAAAAUAAAAGAAGAUAAUUACAUUAUUCAGAAAGUUUUUUUUAAAAUAUAUUGUCCUCUUUGUAAAAAGGUAUGUGUAUCGAAUUUAUAUAACAAUUAUUAUAUAUGUGAAAAUAAACACAUAUUCAAUAAGUGUAUGAUGACUUUUGGUUGUAUAUAUAAAAAUUUUUUAAUAUUACCAAUUAUAUUUCUGUUGGAUUGUGUUAGUGAUAACGUAUAUGGUGUCGGACAUGUCUCUGCGGAGUCUGCUCCAGUUGAACUUAAUAAUACUUCCUAUUUUAAUUUACGAAAAUUGAUAAACAAUAUUUAUGUUUGUUCAUUUUGCCAUUAUUUUAUUACAACCGAUAAUUUUUUUUUUGAACAUAAUUUUUGUUUUAAACAAUGUCCUUUUUGUAAUCAUCACUUGUAUAUUUUAUUAUCCUGAGUAAUUGUUUCUAGCUCAUUUUUGUUGUUUUCAAAAAAAUACCUAAAUGAUUUUUUGUGUAUUGUAUUUUUACGUCACUAUGUACACCCAUAUAUACAUAUGUAUAUACAUAUAUGUAAGCACCUUUUUAAUUUUUUUUUUUUUUUUUUGUUCGUUUUUGAAAACCUUUAAGUAUAUUUUUAAAAUUAUGUCAGAAUUUUUUUUUUUUUUUUUUUUUUUUUUUUUAUAGUAUGUAAAUAUAUAUACACAUAUUUGUUUUGGUAUUGUUCAUAAAAAAAAAAAAAAAAAAAAAAAAAAUCCUUGUGUGCGCCUAUUUUAUUUUUCAUAUUAAAGAUAUAUUUUUAUAAUACUUACAUAAACAUUUACGUGUAAAAGUAAAACUAUGUUUUUAAUAAAUAAAUAACCAAACAUGAUAGUUUUAUUAUU
rnacentral:lncRNA from 1 species